GCUUACCUCACGCAGGUCGAACGGGGUUUUUCUGUAGCUUGGUAUGGUAUAAGUUAGUGGCAGACGGUGAGUAAGUAUAGGACUCACCCUAGUAGUACGGAAUAAUUUUUGGAAGCGCCAACUAAUACCGUAUACGCCUUACGGGGGAACAGAUUUAUGGCUAUUAGAUGAGCCUAUAUUGGAUUAGCUAGUUGAUAAGGUAAUGGCUUACCAAGGCAAUGAUCUAUAGCUGAUGUGAGAGGAUGAUCAGCCACACUGGAACUGAGAUACGGUCCAGACUCCUACGGGAGGCAGCAGUGGGGAAUAUUGGACAAUGGGCGAAAGCCUGAUCCAGCCAUGCCGCAUGAGUGAAGAAGGCCUUUGGGUUGUAAAGCUCUUUCGGUGAGGAAGAUAAUGACGGUACUCACAGAAGAAGUCCUGGCUAACUCCGUGCCAGCAGCCGCGGUAAUACGGAGAGGGCUAGCGUUAUUCGGAAUUAUUGGGCGUAAAGGGCGCGUAGGCUGAUUAAUAAGUUAAAAGUGAAAUCCCGAGGCUUAACCUGGGAAUUGCUUUUAAAACUAUUAAUCUAGAGAUUGAAAGAGGAUAGAGGAAUUCCUGAUGUAGAGGUAAAAUUCGUAAAUAUUAGGAGGAACACCAGUGGCGAAGGCGUCUCUCUGGUUCGAUUCUGACGCUGAGGUGCGAAAGCGUGGGGAGCAAACAGGAUU
rnacentral:rRNA from 1 species